AGAACGAACGCUGGCGGCAUGCCUAACACAUGCAAGUCGAACGCUUCCGGGGCUUCGGUCGCGGAGGAGUGGCGCACGGGUGAGUAGCGCGUGGGAACCUGCCCUGUUGUGGGGGAUAACCGAGGGAAACUUCGGCUAAUACCGCAUACGCCCCGGGACUUGGUCUUCGGAUUAGGUCUGGGGGGAAAGAUUGAUCGCAGCAGGAGGGGCCCGCGUCGGAUUAGCUGGUUGGUGGGGUAACGGCUCACCAAGGCGAUGAUCCGUAGCUGGUCUGAGAGGAUGAUCAGCCACACUGGGACUGAGACACGGCCCAGACUCCUACGGGAGGCAGCAGUGGGGAAUAUUGGACAAUGGGGGCAACCCUGAUCCAGCAAUGCCGCGUGAGUGAUGAAGGCCUUAGGGUUGUAAAGCUCUUUCGCCCGCGACGAUGAUGACGGUAGCGGGAGAAGAACGCCCGGCUAACUUCGUGCCAGCAGCCGCGGU
rnacentral:rRNA from 1 species